rnacentral:piRNA from 1 species
UGGUGUUCAUGACCCAACCCUAAA